AAAAAAAAAAAAAAAAAAGGUGUAAUGCAAUCAUGGUUCCAAUGAACCUAGUGCCUUUCAUUUUUUUUCCCUCACUACUUCACUAUAUAUCCUCUAUAUCCAAUAUCAAAAUUCAGAAUGACACUCCUGCAAUCCUAUCCAUUAUCCAACUGAGUAACAAGAAGGCGAGAACAUCAAAUAUAAGAAUAAAUUAGACGGAGAUCAAGGAUUUCCUUAGUUACACCCCAUGAAGCUGCAAACCAGUAUUAAUGCUGACACCCCUUUAAUUUUGAUUCUUUAGAUCAUAAUUUUUUAAGAACUAUGGAUCUGUCUACAAUUUAUUGUAAGCAUCAAGCCCUAAUCUAAGUUCAUUCAUAAAAAUCACCAUUCAUAGGUAUUAGGUAACAGAAACCACAAAACCAAUGUUCCUAUGAACUAAUACCCCUAAUAACUAAAAGAAGUUUAGAUAGAGAGGAAAGUGAUAACAAAUGUUUACAUGGCUGUACACUACUAAAAUUAACUAAUACACCAAAUACUCACUAAAUCUUAAUCCCAAACUAGU
rnacentral:misc_RNA from 1 species